GUCUUUAAGAUCUUAAUUUAAAGUCUAAUCUGCCCAAUGAAAAUUUUAAAUGGCUGCAGAAUUUUUACUGUACUAAGGUAGCAUAAUAAUUUGUUUUUUAAUUAAAAACUAGAAUAAAAGAUUAAAUGAAAUAUAAACUGUUUCCAUUAAUUAUUAUAUUAAAUUUUUUAUUUAAGUAAAAAAACUUAAAUAAUUUUUAAAGACGACAAGACCCUAUAGAAUUUAAUUUAAUUUAUUUUUUUAAAAAAAUAAAUUAAAUUUUAUUGGGGUAAUAAAAAAAUUUAAUUAAUUUUUUUUAAAAAAUACAAUUUUUAUUGAAUUAUUUAUCUUAAUUUUUAAAUUAAAAAAAUUAAUUACCUUAGGGAUAACAGCAUAAUUUUUUUUGAAAGAUCUUAUUUAUAAAAAAGAUUAU
rnacentral:rRNA from 1 species